GUGAACGCACUGAAACUACUGCUUCGGCGGGCAGCCCUUCAGGGGGUAGCCCGCCGGAGAAGCACUAAACUCUUGUAUUUUUGGCUUCUCUGAGUGAUUAUACAAUGAAUCAAAACUUUCAACAACGGAUCUCUUGGUUCUGGCAUCGAUGAAGAACGCAGCGAAAUGCGAUACGUAAUGUGAAUUGCAGAAUUCAGUGAAUCAUCGAAUCUUUGAACGCACAUUGCGCCUGCUAGCACUCUGGCAGGCAUGCCUGUUCGAGCGUCAUUUCAACCAUCAAGCCCUAGGCUUGCGUUGGAGCCCUGCGGCUGCCGCAGGCCCCUAAAAGCAGUGGCGGGCUCGCUAUCACACCGAGUGCAGUAGAUUACUCUUCGCUCAGGGCGUGUGGCGGGUUCCAGCCGUGAAACCCCCUACUUCUCAAGGUUGACCUCGGAUCAGGUAGGAAUACCCGCUGAACUUAA
rnacentral:rRNA from 1 species